ACGGGUGAGUAAUGCCUAGGAAUCUGCCUGGUAGUGGGGGAUAACGCUCGGAAACGGACGCUAAUACCGCAUACGUCCUACGGGAGAAAGCAGGGGACCUUCGGGCCUUGCGCUAUCAGAUGAGCCUAGGUCGGAUUAGCUAGUUGGUGAGGUAAUGGCUCACCAAGGCGACGAUCCGUAACUGGUCUGAGAGGAUGAUCAGUCACACUGGAACUGAGACACGGUCCAGACUCCUACGGGAGGCAGCAGUGGGGAAUAUUGGACAAUGGGCGAAAGCCUGAUCCAGCCAUGCCGCGUGUGUGAAGAAGGUCUUCGGAUUGUAAAGCACUUUAAGUUGGGAGGAAGGGCAGUUACCUAAUACGUGAUUGUUUUGACGUUACCGACAGAAUAAGCACCGGCUAACUCUGUGCCAGCAGCCGCGGUAAUACAGAGGGUGCAAGCGUUAAUCGGAAUUACUGGGCGUAAAGCGCGCGUAGGUGGUUUGUUAAGUUGGAUGUGAAAUCCCCGGGCUCAACCUGGGAACUGCAUCCAAAACUGGCAAGCUAGAGUAUGGUAGAGGGUGGUGGAAUUUCCUGUGUAGCGGUG
rnacentral:rRNA from 1 species